AUACCCAUAUCCUAAGAGGACAAUUGAAGCAUGUGUUGCUCUCAUUGAAGGAUAAAUGUCACCUUAUUACUGUGCAGUUACAUACAACUUGUAAACAUACUUUACCUGAAUGAAUCGAGGUAAAUCAGGAUUUGGAGUAGAAAUGUGUCAGUGUUACAUUUUCAUAUAUAUUUGCUUUGAAUGUCGUAUUUGUGCUUAAUUAGAACCGAAAAGAAAAGAAAUGUAGUCAUCUUCAUCCCUUCAAAAAGACACAAACAAGGAAAAAGUUUUGUAUUUUGUGCUCAGAAGUUCCAUUCGCUGGAGUCCCAGCCAUAUCAACUACAAUCGUCUAUCUACUGUUUUUAAAGUCAUGUUCUGUCUUUGCAAGUGACACCAAACCCUUAUUUGCCUGCAAUUUCCCUCAUUGGAAUCAAAGGUUAAAUGGUAAGAGGGCUGAUCAGGUAUUGUCUGUGCUAGACAAGCUCAUUAAUGUGUCACAAUUCAUUAUCAGAGCCUUGUCCUCACCUUGUCAGGUGGCUAAUGGGAAUAUCAAUCAUAGGCUACCCCAUCACGACCCUUCUCACAUCUUUGCUGCGCAUCUUGCCUCUGUUGACUUCUCAUCCCGAAAUACCACCAGGCCCAAACAGAUCUGUCUGGAACAAAUGUCAAACACAAUUCGGCUCAGGAGUAAACACCCACAAACAUGGCUGACAUAUAGAGUGCGAUUCUUCUUUCUACAUUGCAGAGGUGCCGGUGCUGCUGUUUUACAGAUGUGUUCCAGCUGUUGUAUUAAGAUACAGUGUGUUUUUUGUGACAAGGUGAUGAGCCUUUGUGGACAAAGGAAAAUUAUGAACUUUUAUUUUUGCUGAAGGGAAGACUAAAUGCUCUCAGCAACAAAGCUGAUAGGAACUCAUAAGUGGGCAACGUCAUAUAAGUAUGCAAAUACAAUGUAAAGUGAGCAAUACAAAUAAUGGAUAAGAUUAGAAAAAAUAUGUACAAAUGGCAAAGAAAUAAGAGUUAGAAGCGUUAUUAUAUACAGUACCAUAUAAAAAAAAAAAAAAACAAAAGUGAGUUGACUUUUCAUUUGAUUUAAAUGUUUAUUUAAGUUACAAACAAAUAAAAAAUAUGUUCUUUCUAAUUUAAUCAUUUAAAUUUUUUGUUUAAUUUGAUUUAAUUUUUCAUAAAAAAUUUAAAUUGAUUGGAUUGAAUCUUGAACUUUUAACUUUCAACACCAAAAACAGUACAUGUAUUCAAUCAUGUUCUUCAGCUACCGUAGAUUUUCAAAUGUUCAGUUUAUUCCUAACGACCUUGAACACCCACACAGGUGCUGAUAAGCGUGUGACUUAGCAUAACGAGCGCAAGGCUCGUGCAAUUACAUCAGAAAACAUAUCGUUUUUAAGCAAGACACAGUAUAUUUAGAGAUUGUAUGAGUGACAAUUAAGGGCUGUUUUGAGUUCCUGAUCAGAAAUCCUUUUCUGAACAAACUUGCAGAUAAACAGAGAUCUGGUGCGUGGCAGCGGGAAGAAAAACAGGCACGCAGACAGCUCUGACAAGCAAUUACACAGCAGCUUGUUUGGGAGGCAGACUGGGAUGAGCUCUGGUCUGAUGGCGGGGCACAAGAUUGAAUACUCCAGAGACGGAGAAGAAAAUGGCCAGAGGGAGAACACUGGUGAGACAUCCACAGAUGGAGAGAUGAUGGAUGGAUAGAAUGAUGAAUCCUAGAAGGUUGGAUGGAAAGAUGACGCAUGGAUGUAUAAGAAGAGCUGUCUCCGUGUGCAGUCACUGUGGCUGAAAAGACAAAGAAACAAGUGACAUCUCCAGAAAAUUACAGACAAUUAACUUUAACAACAAGUGAACACACUGUUGACAAGUUUGUGUUGACAGGUGAUCUUUUGGGAGAGGCAGUCCAAAACCAC